CCCCUCUCAGGAUCACCCCUGUAGAGUUUCCAGUACUCUAUCAGUCUCGGCUAUGGGAGGGAAAGUCAAGCAGAGGUCUGUCCAUUCCAUUCCUAGCUUGGCCAGUGGCUAGCAAGUGGAAGACGAUCUGCUACAAGU
rfam:Ornithorhynchus anatinus chromosome X1, whole genome shotgun sequence.